rnacentral:rRNA from 1 species
GAUGAACGCUGGCGGCGUGCCUAAUACAUGCAAGUCGAGCGAAUGGAUAAAGAGCUUGCUCUUAUGAAGUUAGCGGCGGACGGGUGAGUAACACGUGGGUAACCUGCCCAUAAGACUGGGAUAACUCCGGGCAACCGGGGCUAAUACCGGAUAACAUUUUGAACCGCAUGGUUCGAAAUUGAAAGGCGGCUUCGGCUGUCACUUAUGGAUGGACCCGGGUCGCAUUAGCUAGUUGGUGAGGUAACGGCUCACCAAGGCAACGAUGCGUAGCCGACCUGAGAGGGUGAUCGGCCACACUGGGACUGAGACACGGCCCAGACUCCUACGGGAGGCAGCAGUAGGGAAUCUUCCGCAAUGGACGAAAGUCUGACGGAGCAACGCCGCGUGAGUGAUGAAGGCUUUCGGGUCGUAAAACUCUGUUGUUAGGGAAGAACUAGUGCUAGUUGAAUAAGCUGGCACCUUGACGGUACCUAACCAGAAAGCCACGGCUAACUACGUGCCAGCAGCCGCAGUAA